AUUGAACGCUGGCGGCAUGCUUUACACAUGCAAGUCGGACGGCAGCGCGGGCUUCGGCCUGGCGGCGAGUGGCGAACGGGUGAGUAAUACAUCGGAACGUGCCCAGUAGUGGGGGAUAGCUCGGCGAAAGCCGGAUUAAUACCGCAUACGACCUGAGGGUGAAAGCGGGGGACUUUAGGGCCUCGCGCUAUUGGAGCGGCCGAUGGCAGAUUAGCUAGUUGGUGGGGUAAAGGCCUACCAAGGCGACGAUCUGUAGCUGGUCUGAGAGGACGACCAGCCACACUGGGACUGAGACACGGCCCAGACUCCUACGGGAGGCAGCAGUGGGGAAUUUUGGACAAUGGGCGCAAGCCUGAUCCAGCAAUGCCGCGUGUGUGAUGAAGGCCUUCGGGUUGUAAAGCACUUUUGGCAGGAACGAAAAGUGCCGUGCUAAUACCACGGUACGAUGACGGUACCUGCAGAAUAAGCACCGGCUGACUACGUG
rnacentral:rRNA from 1 species